rnacentral:rRNA from 1 species
GAUGAACGCUAGCUACAGGCUUAACACAUGCAAGUCGAGGGGCAGCAUGGUCUUAGCUUGCUAAGGCCGAUGGCGACCGGCGCACGGGUGAGUAACACGUAUCCAACCUGCCGUCUACUCUUGGACAGCCUUCUGAAAGGAAGAUUAAUACAAGAUGGCAUCAUGAGUUCACAUGUUCACAUGAUUAAAGGUAUUCCGGUAGACGAUGGGGAUGCGUUCCAUUAGAUAGUAGGCGGGGUAACGGCCCACCUAGUCUUCGAUGGAUAGGGGUUCUGAGAGGAAGGUCCCCCACAUUGGAACUGAGACACGGUCCAAACUCCUACGGGAGGCAGCAGUGAGGAAUAUUGGUCAAUGGGCGAGAGCCUGAACCAGCCAAGUAGCGUGAAGGAUGACUGCCCUAUGGGUUGUAAACUUCUUUUAUAAAGGAAUAAAGUCGGGUAUGCAUACCCGUUUGCAUGUACUUUAUGAAUAA